AGAUAAAGAAACAACAACUACAACAGUUACUCACCAGCCAGCAGUGACACCUGCUCCGUCAGCCAACCGUCACCUGUUUGACUUGGGGAUCCGAGCCCUAGUUGUCUUCGUCUGCAGCCUUGUUCUCGUCAUCAUUUACUUCAUUUGGAGACAAAAGUCCAAAAGACGAGGGACUGACGAACAGCUCCACGCCUGUGAUGAGACACCAGCUGGAGCAGAACUUCAUGUUAGAAGUGGAGCAGCGCCUGCAUCAACAUGCUGACAGA